rnacentral:rRNA from 1 species
CCUACGGGUGGCAGCAGUGAGGAAUAUUGGUCAAUGGGCGCGAGCCUGAACCAGCCAAGUAGCGUGAAGGAUGACUGCCCUACGGGUUGUAAACUUCGUUUAUAAAGGAAUAAAGUGAGGCACGUGUGCGUUUUUGUAUGUACUUUAUGAAUAAGGAGCGGCUAACUCCGUGCCAGUAGCCGCGGUAAUACGGAGGAUCCGAGCGUUAUCCGGAGUUAUUGGGUUUAAAGGGAGCGUAGAUGGGUUGUUAAGUCAGUUGUGAAAGUUUGCGGCUCAACCGUAAAAUUGCAAUUGAUACUGGCAGCCUUGCGUACAGUUGAGGUAGUCGGUAUUCGUGGUGUAGCGGUGAAAUGCUUAGAUAUCAC